rnacentral:rRNA from 1 species
AAUCAACGCUGGCGGCGUGCCUCAGACAUGCAAGUCGAACGAUUAAAGCUCUCUUCGGAGAGUGUAUAGAGUGGCGCACGGGUGAGUAACACGUAAGUAAUCUACCUUUGAGUGGGAAUAACGUCCGGAACGGACGCUAAUACCGCAUAAUGCAGCGGCAUCGCAAGAUGACAGUUGUUAAAGAUUUAUUCGCUUGAAGAGGAGCUUGCGGCAGAUUAGCUAGUUGGUAAGGUAAUGGCUUACCAAGGCUACGAUCUGUAACCGGUCUAAGAGGACGGUCGGUCACACUGACACUGAAUAACGGGUC